AUUUGAUAGGUCCUCUUUCUUAGCCAAGAUAAAGGACCAGUAAAGUUUUGCCAUUUCAAAUUGCUGCUGCCCCAAUGCCAGCAACCCCUCGUAAAAGUCUGGUUUAAUCGAGAGAGCCUCCUCAUACUUCUCUUUGGCCAGAGAAUAUUUUUCUUUCACCCAGUCAUAUGCUGCUUGAAGCUUGAUAGCCAUCGUCUCCUUUGACGCAGAAUCAUCAAUUGGCAUUCGUUUCCUUGCUGCACACAUGUGAACAUUUCCCCAGUUGAAAAAAGCCAGAGCAGCCACUUCCUGAAACUUUAAGGCAGCCUUGUCAAAAGGAGCUUGAGCUGCUUCACUUGUCACAGUCUCCUCA
rnacentral:misc_RNA from 1 species